rnacentral:rRNA from 1 species
UACAGAGGCCUCGAGCGUUAGGCGGAAUCACUGGGCUUAAAGCGUGUGUAGGCGGAUCGUUAAGUACCUUGUGAAAUCCCACGGCUUAACCGUGGAACUGCUUGGUAUACUGGCGAUCUUGUGCCACCUAGGGGCGAGCGGAACAGAUGGUGGAGCGGUGAAAUGCGUAGAUAUCAUUUGGAACGCCAAUGGUGAAAACAGGUAACUGGGAGUGUGCUGACGCUGAGACACGAAAGCCAGGGGAGCAAACGGG